rnacentral:lncRNA from 1 species
GUAAGGUUAUUGGUUUCAUCUCUUCAUCGAUGGGUGUCAUUCCAAACAUAAACUUAUAAUUCCACGAGGGUACAUGGUUGUCCCAUUACCAUAUGCUACUUGAAUUUUGACAGAUGAUGUGUUAUCCUGAAUUUGAUUGCAUGAGAUUGUUUCAACUUUAUUUUAUGAUACCGUAAGUUAUAAUCGUAUAUUACUUCUUACAAUGAUGGUAACUGUGGUAG